GUGACUGUCAGCAAUGCUGUCUGUGAGAGGCUGUCUCCUGCCACCACCUCUACCCCACUGGGUUUGCCUUCGAGCUUGUUACCCCUCAUGGCAGUGAUCACCACACUCCUCAGAAUGGCCCUAGCUCUUGCAGAGGCUGGGGUCUCCACCCAGCAGGAUCUUCCCACGCGUCUUCAGCCUGGGUGCUGGGUACUCUGUCCUAGUGAAGGGAAAGCGAACACACUCUCUCUAGAUUCCUGUAUCACAACACCUUGUACACACACAGUGUGCUUUAUCGUGACUCAGUGUGGUACACUAACCAAUGGCCAGUGGAAGUGGGACGCCCAGCCCAACUGAGUCAGCGAGCAUGCUUCCGGGCAUGGAAG
rnacentral:lncRNA from 1 species